UACAGAGGUCCCAAGCGUUGUUCGGAUUCACUGGGUUUAAAGGGUGCGUAGGAGGGCAGGUAAGUCAGUGGUGAAAUCCCCGAGCUUAACUUGGGAACUGCCGUUGAUACUAUCUGUCUUGAAUAUCGUGGAGGUGAGCGGAAUAUGUCAUGUAGCGGUGAAAUGCUUAGAUAUGACAUAGAACACCAAUUGCGAAGGCAGCUCGCUACACGAAUAUUGACUCUGAGGCACGAAAGCGUGGGGAUCAAACAGG
rnacentral:rRNA from 1 species